rnacentral:rRNA from 1 species
UACGAAGGGGGCUAGUGUUGUUCGGAAUCACUGGGCGUAAAGGGCGCGUAGGCGGCCGAUCAAGUCGGGGGUGAAAGCCUGUGGCUCAACCACAGAAUUGCCUUCGAUACUGUUUGGCUUGAGACCGGAAGAGGUUAGUGGAACUGCGAGUGUAGAGGUGAAAUUCGUAGAUAUUCGCAAGAACACCAGUGGCGAAGGCGGCUGACUGGUCCGGUUCUGACGCUGAGGCGCGAAAGCGUGGGGAGCAAACAGG